CCUAGCAGCUCCCACUCCUUCCUGAUCUUGGCCUGCUUCUGUUCCCCAAAGAAGAGAGACAGCAUGAGCAUCCACCCCAGCCUGUCCCACCUGGGUUUCCAGAGGCUCUUCCCACCCACUGCACACAGGCAGCCGUGUGCUCUUCACUCUGCCCCUCGCCCACUUCCCACCAUGAGAUUUCCUAGGAGAGCUGGUGAGACCAGGACUGCUGCUGAGCCAAAGAGAACCCCCAAGAUACAGGCUUGCUGGCAAAUGCAGCUGCACCUUGUCAGGCUGGAAGCAAAUUCAUCCACAGGCAACCCUUCCAUCUCAAACCUGCAGGCGCAACCAUAGUCUUCAAAGUCUCGGGGGCAGAGACCAGCCACACACUUCAUACCAUUGACAAACUGGAUCAGCACAGGGAAAUUGGUGAAGACAGCCUGCAGCCAGAAAAAAGGCAUGUGAGACGAUCCCUUUGAUCUACACCUUUUUUCUACCUUGAAUGUGGAUGAGGAUGUGCUAGCUGGAGCUGCAGCAACCACAUUAUUAUCAGGAGGCCCCAAGUCUGAAGUUGAAAAACCAAUAUGCUCAGGAUAGCAGUGGAGCAAGAUAGACGGAGCCUGCUGGCUCUUUGACACCUGUGUUGAGCUACUACAUGCAUCCUGGUGCCUUCACACCACU